rnacentral:rRNA from 1 species
CGGACGGGUGGAGUAACACGUGGAUAACCUACCUAUAAGACUGGGAUAACUUCGGGAAACCGGAGCUAAUACCGGAUAAUAUAUUGAACCGCAUGGUUCAAUAGCGAAAGACGGUUUUGCUGUCACUUAUAGAUGGAUCCGCGCUGCAUUAGCUAGUUGGUAAGGUAACGGCUUACCAAGGCAACGAUGCGUAGCCGACCUGAGAGGGUGAUCGGCCACACUGGAACUGAGACACGGUCCAGACUCCUACGGGAGGCAGCAGCG